rnacentral:rRNA from 1 species
AUUGGACAAUGGAGGCAACUCUGAUCCAGCCAUGCCGCGUGAAGGAAGACGGCCUUAUGGGUUGUAAACUUCUUUUAUACAGGAAGAAACCUUUCCACGUGUGGAAAGUUGACGGUACUGUAAGAAUAAGGAUCGGCUAACUCCGUGCCAGCAGCCGCGGUAAUACGGAGGAUCCAAGCGUUAUCCGGAAUUAUUGGGUUUAAAGGGUCCGCAGGCUGUUUGUUAAGUCAGAGGUGAAAUCCUACCGCUCAACGGUAGAACUGCCUUUGAUACUGGCAAACUUGAGUUAUUGUGAAGUAGUUAGAAUGUGUAGUGUAGCGGUGAAAUGCAUAGAUAUUACACAGAAUACCGAUUGCGAAAGCAGAUUACUAACAAUAUACUGACGCUGAGGGACGAAAGCGUGGGUAGCGAACAGGAUUAGAUACCCUGGUAGUCCACGCCGUAAACGAUGGUCACUAGCUGUUCGAUGUACAUUGGUACGUUGAGUGGCUAAGCGAAAGUGAUAAGUGACCCACCUGGGGAGUACGCUCGCAAGAGUGAAACUCAAAGGAAUUGACGGGGGCCCGCACAAGCGGUGGAGCAUGUGGUUUAAUUCGAUGAUACGCGAGGAACCUUACCAGGACUUAAAUGUAAGUUGCAUGAUUCAGAAAUGAAUCUUUCUUCGGACUACUUACAAGGUGCUGCAUGGUUGUCGUCAGCUCGUGCCGUGAGGUGUCAGGUUAAGUCCUAUAACGAGCGCAACCCCUAUCGUUAGUUGCCAUCAAGUAAAGUUGGGAACUCUAGCGAAACUGCCGGUGCAAACCGAGAGGAAGGUGGGGAUGACGUCAAAUCAUCACGGCCCUUACGUUCUGGGCUACACACGUGCUACAAUGGUCGGUACAGAAAGCAGCCACUAUGCGAAUAGGAGCUAAUCUUUAAGACCGAUCUCAGUUCGGACCGCAGUCUGCAACUCGACUGCGUGAAGCUGGAAUCGCUAGUAAUCGGAUAUCAGCCAUGAUCCGGUGAAUACGUUCCCGGGCCUUGUACACACCGCCCGUCAAGCCAUGGAAGCUGGGGGUACCUAAAGUCGGUGACCGAAAGGAGCUGCCUAGGGUAAAACUAGUGACUGGGGCUAAGUCGUAACAAGGUAGCCGUACCGGAAGGUGCGGCUGGAAUACCUCCUUUCU